CCUACGGGCGGCAGCAGUGAGGAAUAUUGGUCAAUGGGCGCGAGCCUGACCCAGCCAAGUAGCGUGAAGGAUGACUGCCCUCCGGGUUGUAAACUUCUUUUCUAAAGGAAUCAAGUAAUGCAUGUGUGCCCUUUUUUAUGUACUUUAUGCAUAAGUAUCGUCUAACUCCGUGCCAGCAGCCGCGGUACUACGGAGGAUCCGAGCGUUAUCCGGAUUUAUUGGGUUUAAAGGGAGCGUAGAUGGGGUGGUACUUCAGUUGUGAAUGUUUGGGGCUCAACCGUAAAAUUGCAAUUGAGACUGGCAGUCUUGAGGACAGUAGAGGUAGGCGGAAUUCGUGGUGUAGCGGUGAAAUGCUUAGAUAUGACGAAGAACUCCGAUUGCGAAGGCAGCUUACUAAACUGCCACUGACAUUGAUGCUCGAAAGUGUGGGGAUCAAACAGGAUUAGAUACCCGAGUAGUC
rnacentral:rRNA from 1 species